rnacentral:lncRNA from 1 species
ACCCUACAGUUAUGCACUGCCAAUAAGUGAAAAGGUCAAGAGAAGCAGUAGUUCAGUGGCUGAAUUUUUCUGAAGUGCUUUACAGCAGGGAAGGUGGGGAAACCUCUUAAAUAAAGUGGUGUCUUAUUCAAUCCUGGAGCACAGGCCAAGGGUUUUAAUGCAAAAUACCAGAAAAAAAAGUCUGCAACAUCUCCUGUGAGUGGGGGAAGAAAAUAAGAUUAACAAUUGCAUCUUGAAACACUCAUAAUUUGAGGUCUCUGUUUUACUAACAUUUGAAACCAGUCUCUCUGUGCCUGCUUGGGCCCUGCAAUUGGCAAAAGUAAUUUUUCAGCCACAGAUAGAACAAGGAAUGAAUCAUUGCUUUCUGCC